rnacentral:rRNA from 1 species
UCGGAAUUACUGGGCGUAAAGGGCGCGUAGGCGGCCUUCUAAGUCGAACGUGAAAUCCCCGGGCUCAACCCGGGAACUGCGUCCGAUACUGGAAGGCUUGAAUCCGGGAGAGGGAUGCGGAAUUCCUGGUGUAGCGGUGAAAUGCGCAGAUAUCAGGAGGAACACCGAUUGCGAAGGCAGCUCGCUGGAACGUUACUGACGCUGAGACGCGAAAGCGUGGGGAGCAAACAGG